rnacentral:rRNA from 1 species
GAUGAACGCUGGCGGCGUGCCUAAUACAUGCAAGUCGAGCGAACAGAUGAGGAGCUUGCUCCUCUGACGUUAGCGGCGGACGGGUGAGUAACACGUGGAUAACCUACCUAUAAGACUGGGAUAACUUCGGGAAACCGGAGCUAAUACCGGAUAAUAUAUUGAACCGCAUGGUUCAAUAGUGAAAGACGGCUUUGCUGUCACUUAUAGAUGGAUCCGCGCCGCAUUAGCUAGUUGGUAAGGUAACGGCUUACCAAGGCAACGAUGCGUAGCCGACCUGAGAGGGUGAUCGGCCACACUGGAACUGAGACGCGGUCCAGACUCCUACGGGAGGCAGCAGUAGGGAAUCUGCCGCAAUGGGCGAAAGCCUGACGGAGCAACGCCGCGUGAGUGAUGAAGGUCUUCGGAUCGUAAAACUCUGUUAUUAGGGAAGAACAAAUGUGUAAGUAACUAUGCACGUCUUGACGGUACCUAAUCAGAAAGCCACGGCUAACUACGUG